rnacentral:ncRNA from 15 species
GUGUGGUGGUGUAGUUGGUUAUCACGUCGGUCUAACUCACUGAAGGUCUCCGGUCCGAGUCCGGGCGACGGCA